GUAAUAAUUGCAAUGGGACCCGCAGACCAAUAAUUGAGUUAAAAAGCCCCGUUUUGAUGAUUAUCUCGAAAACCAGUACCGAUUGGACUCCGCUUUAUUAAUAUAAAGCUAUUAAAUACGUAUUUUCAUGUCAUAUACGAUCCAAAGGGGUACCAAUUAUUUGUAAAUAUAAAUAGACCUUUCUAGAGCUUAUUUUCACCCGGAAAAUCAUUUCACCAGUUUCUUUCCACGAAUACCGAGAGAAAUCGAGUGGUGUUCUUCGUGUUCUUCAUAAUCAAACGAAGAUUUGAAGGUGUUAUUGGAGUCAGAAUCAAGCGUGCAAAUAGUCAAAUCGAAGAUAUCGAAGAGUAGAACCCAAAUCAAUCAUCAAAAACAACAUGAGAUUCACAGGUAGGGAGUAAUUGAAGUUUUAAAAUUCGAAUUAUUAUAAUUUUAAAGAUGAAUUUUUGUAAACGAUCUUGUUUGAUUGUUUUGAUGCUUCUAUGUUGUAGAGCGUGUUUUUCUCGUCAUUUUGAUAUAUUAUAUGUUGAAUUUGGGCUUCGGAAUCAUAUAGAAACAGUGGUUUAAUUCUUGAGUAGGUGUUCUUGAGUGUUCUUCGUGGGUUAUGAAUAUUUUCAAUUGAGAUUUGGGCGUUUCUUAUCUGUUAAUCACAUGAGCAAUCGGUUGAUAUGGUUGGAUAGAGCGUGAAGAGAGGAACUUGUGGGUAUGUUCAAAAGUUAUGUGGGAUUCCCGGAAAGGGGUCACCGGAGUUUCGAAAGAAACUCGCCGGCGGGUUUUUGCUUCGAUUUUCCGGCGACGAUUGGUGAUUCUGAUCAAGUGUGUAGGUUCCUGGUGAUCGGUAGUCGAGUUAUGCGUAGUUUGGUGGCCGCCCGAGGCCUGUUUAGCCGAUUCCGGCGAGUCAGGGGUGCCAACGGCGACAACGUGCCGUUUGGUCACCCAACUUAUGAAGAUGAUGAAGUCAUUGUACUCGAGUUUUGAAAAUUACAAAUUACCCCCUGGAACUUUUGGAAAGUUACACUUUAAACCCUGGACAAAAACUUUCAAAAGUUUACAAAAUAAACCUUUUGAUUUAAUUUUCUAAAAUUGUUUUAUUUAAUUAUUUUAAAUUCCAAAAAUAAUUUUUAAUUAUUUCUUUAUUCAAAAAUAAAUCUAAAUUAGUUUAUUAAUUAAUUUUAAUUAGUAAUUAAUUAUUUUAAUUGGUCAAUUAAUUUAAAUAUUAAUUGAUUAAUUAUUUUAAUUAAUUAUUAAUUGAUUUUAAUUGAUUAAUUAAUUGGAUUUAAUUUAUCCUUUUUGAUUUAAAAAUUCCGAAAAAUAGUUUCGAGCUUUGAAAUAUUUUUCUAAAUUAUUUUCAAGGCUCGAUAAUUGUUUAUGAAUGAUUUCAAGUGCAAUUUCAAGUAUUUGGGACUUGAUUAUUUAUUCAAAAAAAGUGAUUCUUUUAUCGAUUUUAAUUCCGAAAAAUGUUUAAAAAUUCUGGAAAAUUCCCGAAAAAUCAUUUUUAACCCUAAGACUUGAUUUAAGAUCAAUUGGGAUGGGAAACCUUAUGUGUUGUGUGUUGUCUGCUAUUGGUUGGAUGUGUUAUGUGCCGAUAGGAGAGUGAGAAAACUGUUUUGAGCAUAACUUUUGAUCUGUAAGUCGGAAUCAAGUGAAACGAAAGAGAGAUAGAAGCUCGUGAAGUCUAUUUUAAUAUGACAAGAUAAUAUGAUUGAAUCUAGAAUGUGAUUAUAUGCUAUGUAAUAUGCAAUAUGUAACCAUACGUGAUUUGUUUGUUAUGAAUUGAUGAUUACGUGAUAUAUGUGGUUAUUCCUAAUAUAGUACAUAUGUGAUAAAUGACUUAUAUGACAUAGUGCCAUGAUUUGAUAAGAACAUAUGGAUUAUAGGAAUUGGAAUUGGUUGGUUGGUUGUUGGUUGGGAAUAGGUUGACAGGUGGAUAAUCUUAUAACUAGACAAGAUGCUGGCAGAUUUUCGAUAUGAUUUAUAUGAUUAUUGAUUAUAACAUGUUAUGUAGAAUAUGACUUGACUAUAUGAUAAAGUCAAAGAAUGAUUAUGUGCUAAGUGAUAUGUGAUAAGUUUAAAGGGGUAUAUAAGUGGGUAUCGAUAUGCGUGAUAUGUAUAUGCGAUCGAUUGUUUAGUGAUUAUAGUGUUAUCUUAUUCUCGUAAAGGAUUUGGACGAGAAGUGUAUGCCCGAAGACGUUCAGAAAGUCACGUGGUGUUACAAAGCGAAUAAGGGAUGAAUCGAGUAAGCGAAGCGAAGAUGUACGGUAGAUAGAGUAUAGCCAGAGAUGGUCUAGAGACUAUGAGAUGCAUAGAUUGUGAAAGUGGAAAGAUGAGAUUGAGAUGUGAGACUGGAGUCAGAUUUAAGGCAAGUAUCCUAAACCUUUCUCUUGGAUAUAUUGCAAAUAUUCUGAUCCAUUCCUUUGGUAUAUGUUUCAAGUAUUCAUACCUUUCUUUUCAAUGUUCGAAAGUGCGAGUAUUCUGACCCAUUCUUUCUAAUCUUCAAGUUUCUAAAGAAUUUCCGUUUUACAAAUUAAUUCGAAGUUCAGAUUGUCAUUGAAGCAUGUGUUGCUCAGUGAUAGUUAGAGCUUUGAAUGAAUUGGGAUCUUCUUGAUUAUUCAACCCGCCAUUGUCAUGCUGGUUUAGCAGGCUAAAUUCAGUUGCUUAGCCGAUAAUGGAGGAUACUGAAUAGUUGAGGAUUUCCUGAACUGUGAUUUAUGAAAUGAUGGAUCAUGAUUUAUGAAUAGAUUAUUAUCAAAGUUUGAUUUGGAAUUAUUCUGUUGUUGAUGAUAUUUAUGAUGAUGUUCUGUUGAUUUACAUUGGCUUCUUGAAUUGAAUUAGAGAAUUGGAUUAUUGUUUUUAUAUAAACAUGUGGACCAGAUGAGUGGUCAGACCAGAUGAGUGGUCAGACCAGAUGAAUGGUCAUGUUAGGCCAAUGAGUGCCUUGGAUCCAGUGAUAGAGCAUGGCGGGGCCUGCUCGGGGUUAGGUAUGACUGAUCAGCAUCCUAACCUUGGUUUUUAAUUAAAAUAUGAUAGUUCCAUUCAAUAAUUUUCUUUUGUAUGAUUGAAUUCCUCAGGCUUCUAUUGCUGCAAAGUGUUGUGAUUCUUUUAUACAAUACCUGAAUUUGUGAACUCAGGUUGAAUCUUUUUAUAUCUUGAACUCGAGAAUUUCUGUUAUAUCACUUCAGAACUUUCAUUGUUACUAUUACUACUUGCUGAGCAUUGUUGCUCACUCUUGCUAUUCUCUUUCUAACCAUCUCAGAAAGGCUUAAAGAUGAGAUGAUUGAUUGAGAUUGUGAAUAAGGCUAAUGCUAGGCGAGGAGACAGAGUUGAGGAUCCAGUGAUCGAGGAGGGUUCAGGGAAGUUGAUAAGGGUUGUGCUAGCUAGAGUUAUGCUAUGAAGAUUCAGAUGUAAGUCAUGGCUGGAGUAGGUUGACAGUGAUUCUUCUUAUCGAAGAUGAUCUGAUUUGGUAAGAAAAGUUGUGUAAUAUUAGUGGUGGAUUCUAAUUUCAAUACUGUAACCUGGAUGCGAUCCUGCUGUUUUAAGGGGGUUAAAGUGUUCUCUUUUAAAUCCUUUAUAAUGGUUUUCAAGUUUUGAAUUUCAAGUUUUAAAUUCUCUGGAUUUCAUUAUCUUUAAU
rnacentral:lncRNA from 1 species